rnacentral:tRNA from 1 species
UUCUUUUUAGUAUAAUGAGUAUAGGUGCCUUCCAAGCAUUAGGUCUAAAAUUGUUUAGAGUAGAUA